rnacentral:rRNA from 1 species
CCUACGGGACGCAGCAGUGGGGAAUAUUGCACAAUGGGCGCAAGCCUGAUGCAGCCAUGCCGCGUGUAUGAGGAAGGCCUUAGGGUUGUAAAGUACUUUCAGUUGGGAGGAAGGCGUUGAUGCUAAUAUCAUCAACGAUUGACGUUGCCAACAGAAGAAGCACCGGCUAACUCCGUGCCAGCAGCCGCGGUAAUACGGAGGGUGCAAGCGUUAAUCGGAAUUACUGGGCGUAAAGCGCACGCAGGCGGUUGAUUAAGUUAGAUGUGAAAUCCCCGGGCUUAACCUGGGAAUGGCAUCUAAGACUGGUGAGCUAGAGUCUUGUAGAGGGGGGUAGAAUUCCAUGUGUAGCGGUGAAAUGCGUAGAGAUGUGGAGGAAUACUGGUGGCGAAGGCGGCCCCCUGGACAAAGACUGACGCUCAGGUGCGAAAGCGUGGGGAGCAAACAGGAUUAGAUACCCCUGUAGUC